rnacentral:rRNA from 1 species
ACAUGGGGAGCUUGCUCUCUGAUGGCGAGUGGCGAACGGGUGAGUAACAUAUCGGAACGUGCCUAGUAAUGGGGAAAAACUAAUUGAAAGAUUAGCUAAUACCGCAUACGCCCUACGGGGGAAAGCAGGGGAUCUUCGGACCUUGCGUUAUUGGAGCGGCCGAUAUCUGAUUAGCUUGUUGGUAGGGUAAAGGCCUACCAAGCCGACGAUCAGUAGCUGGUCUGAGAGGACGAUCAGCCACACUGGAACUGAGACACGGUCCAGACUCC